rnacentral:rRNA from 1 species
GUCCACGCCGUAAACGAUGAGUGCUAAGUGUUGGGUCGGUCCCGUCCNCUGCUGCAGCUAACGACCAUAAGUACACUCCGCCCUCGGGAGGUAGGAACCGCCAACGGUGUAAAGUACCAAAGAAGUAGUAGGGACCCGGGCCGACCAAGACGGUGGUAGGCGAUGUGGUUUAAGUUUCGUUAAAGCAAACGCCAAGUCGUGGGUAGGGCGAAGGCGAACACCAAGGGGAGUAAGGG